rnacentral:snRNA from 1 species
UUGCUUCAGUAGCACAUGCACUAAAAUUAGAACAAUAUAGAGAGAUUAGCUUGCCCCUGUGCAAGGAUGAUGCACAAAUUCAUGAAAAUCUGAUGGUGUCC